rnacentral:rRNA from 1 species
GACGAACGCUGGCGGCGUGCUUAACACAUGCAAGUCGAACGGAAAGGCCCUGCUUUUGUGGGGUGCUCGAGUGGCGAACGGGUGAGUAACACGUGAGUAACCUGCCCUUGACUUUGGGAUAACUUCAGGAAACUGGGGCUAAUACCGGAUAGGAGCUCCUGCUGCAUGGUGGGGGUUGGAAAGUUUCGGCGGUUGGGGAUGGACUCGCGGCUUAUCAGCUUGUUGGUGGGGUAGUGGCUUACCAAGGCUUUGACGGGUAGCCGGCCUGAGAGGGUGACCGGCCACAUUGGGACUGAGAUACGGCCCAGACUCCUACGGGAGGCAGCAGUGGGGAAUAUUGCACAAUGGGCGGAAGCCUGAUGCAGCAACGCCGCGUGCGGGAUGACGGCCUUCGGGUUGUAAACCGCUUUCGCCUGUGACGAAGCGUGAGUGACGGUAAUGGGUAAAGAAGCACCGGCUAACUACGUGCCAGCAGCCGCGGUGAUACGUAGGGUGCGAGCGUUGUCCGGAUUUAUUGGGCGUAAAGGGCUCGUAGGUGGUUGAUCGCGUCGGAAGUGUAAUCUUGGGGCUUAACCCUGAGCGUGCUUUCGAUACGGGUUGACUUGAGGAAGGUAGGGGAGAAUGGAAUUCCUGGUGGAGCGGUGGAAUGCGCAGAUAUCAGGAGGAACACCAGUGGCGAAGGCGGUUCUCUGGGCCUUUCCUGACGCUGAGGAGCGAAAGCGUGGGGAGCGAACAGGCUUAGAUACCCUGGUAGUCCACGCUGUAAACGGUGGGUACUAGGUGUGGGGUCCAUUCCACGGGUUCCGUGCCGUAGCUAACGCUUUAAGUACCCCGCCUGGGGAGUACGGCCGCAAGGCUAAAACUCAAAGGAAUUGACGGGGCCCCGCACAAGCGGCGGAGCAUGCGGAUUAAUUCGAUGCAACGCGUAGAACCUUACCUGGGUUUGACAUGGAUCGGGAGUGCUCAGAGAUGGGUGUGCCUCUUUUGGGGUCGGUUCACAGGUGGUGCAUGGCUGUCGUCAGCUCGUGUCGUGAGAUGUUGGGUUAAGUCCCGCAACGAGCGCAACCCUUGUUCACUGUUGCCAGCACGUUAUGGUGGGGACUCAGUAGAGACCGCCGGGGUCAACUCGGAGGAAGGUGGGGAUGACGUCAAGUCAUCAUGCCCCUUAUGUCCAGGGCUUCACGCAUGCUACAAUGGCUGGUACAGAGAGUGGCGAGCCUGUGAGGGUGAGCGAAUCUCGGAAAGCCGGUCUCAGUUCGGAUUGGGGUCUGCAACUCGACCUCAUGAAGUCGGAGUCGCUAGUAAUCGCAGAUCAGCAACGCUGCGGUGAAUACGUUCCCGGG